rnacentral:rRNA from 1 species
UACGUAGGUGGCAAGCGUUGUCCGGAUUUAUUGGGUUUAAAGGGUGCGUAGGCGGCUUUGUAAGUCAGUGGUGAAAUAUGGCAGCUCAACUGUCAGGGUGCCAUUGAUACUGCGGAGCUUGAGUACAGAUGAGGUAGGCGGAAUUGACGGUGUAGCGGUGAAAUGCUUAGAUAUCGUCAAGAACACCGAUAGCGAAGGCAGCUUACUAGGCUGUAACUGACGCUGAGGCGCGAAAGUGUGGGGAUCAAACAGG